UAUAUAUAUAUAUAUAUAGGGGAGGGAUCUAUAGAGAAUGCCUAUAAAAUAAAGAAUGGAGAAUAACUCCUUACCGUUAGAUCUUGCAAAACUAGCGGUCAUGAUUGAAUUCGAAUAUCCAUAAAAAAUCAUGUUUAAUUAAUAUAAAUCAUUUUUAUAUUCAAAUAAGGGUAGUUCGGCCAAUUAAACCACACCCAAAAUCUGAAACAUAUCUCACUUCCGAAAAUAAAGCAACCCCUUUCUUCCAUUAUUCCAUAGAUUUUUACAGUUUUCGAAAAAUCACAAUCCGUUGCAGACAAACGAUUUAGAGAGCAAAAGAAUUUUGAAGAAGGUCGCCGGCGAUUUUCCAUCUCAUCCAUGGUCCUAGCAGCACCUAGAAGGGUUUGUGGGAAUUAAGGUUUGUAGCUGUAAUUCUCUGAAUUUUGCGAGAAAACUCAGCAAGGACAUUUAUUGUUGGAUUGCAUACUAUGGAAUAUUCUUCAAGAUGAUUAAGCAUUACAACUCAAGAGAUAAUGGGAUAAGUAGUUUGAAGGCUCGAGCAGCUUGCAAGUUAUGCUACCUACACAUUUUUCAUGUUCAUUUCCAGUUGAUUGUUUGUAUAUUGUUCAUUGAAAAGUAGUUAUUAUUCGAUAUAUAUUGUUAUAUUGUUCGAUUGUUUAGGUAUGACAUUUGAAAAUUUAAUAUUUAAUAAUUUGUCAUUAAAAA